GACUCCAUGGUGUAGUUGGUUAUCACGUCAGUCUAACACACUGAAGGUCUCCAGUUCGAACCUGGAUGGAGUCA